rnacentral:rRNA from 1 species
AGAGUGAUCGAAAGAUGAAAASCACUUUGAAAAGAGAGUWAAACAGCACGUGAAAUUGUUGAAAGGGAAGCGCUUGCGAUCAGACUCGCCCGCGGGGUUCAGCCGGCAUUCGUGCCGGUGUACUUCCCCGUGGGCGGGCCAGCGUCGGUUUGGGCGGCCGGUCAAAGGCCCCUGGAAUGUAACGCCUCUCGGGGCGUCUUAUAGCCAGGGGUGCCAUGCGGCCUGCCCGGACCGAGGAACGCGYUUCGGCUCGGACGCUGGCAUAAUGGUCGUAAGCGA